CGCGUGAGGAACCUGCCUCAAAGAGGGGGACAACAGUUGGAAACGACUGCUAAUACCGCAUAAGCCCACGGGUCGGCAUCGACCAGAGGGAAAAGGAGCAAUCCGCUUUGAGAUGGCCUCGCGUCCGAUUAGCUAGUUGGUGAGGUAACGGCCCACCAAGGCGACGAUCGGUAGCCGGACUGAGAGGUUGAACGGCCACAUUGGGACUGAGACACGGCCCAG
rnacentral:rRNA from 1 species